GCCACGUCCCAGAUGAAGGAGCACGAGAAGGACCCGGAGAUGCUGGUGGACCUGCAGUACAGCCUGGCCAACUCCUACGCCAGCACGCCUGAGCUCCGGCGCACCUGGCUGGAGAGCAUGGCCAAGAUACACGUCCGCAACGGAGACCUCUCCGAGGCGGCCAUGUGUUACAUCCACAUUCUCCGCCCUGAUCGCUGAGUCCCUCAAGAGGAGAGGCUACUGGAAACCUGACAAGGCCAGGAUGUCAAGUGUGGUUCCUGAGGAGCCCAAUGUCAAUAACUGUAGCCCCUUACUAACCCCCCGAGAUGGAGAAAGUGAGUGUGCCGACCCUGGGGCCGGCCAUGGAACAGGGAUGCGUAAAGGGUGGGGGGAAUUCAAGCUACGAUUACUCCAGAAUCAGAACUUUCUUCGCCAAGUACAUUUACAUCUACCAGGAAUUUAACGUUGUGAAAUGGUGCUGACAGCAAUAAACAGAGUAUAUAGAACGUACACAUAAUCUACAUACAGUAUAUAAUAUAGAUAGUGAAAACUAGUUUACUUAAAAACACUAGGACCAAUCUUUGACUGCAUCUAGCAGAAUGGAGUCCACAUUUUUACAGGUGCACAGUGUAAUGUUUUGAAGUCCACUGAAAUGGCUUUGCAAUACCACUUAGAAUGAAGCAAUGUAUUGGACAUGCAUUCUAAGUGGUAUGCUGAACAAACCCUAUGACUCAAAAGACUAACAGAAUGGAGUACAGGCAGGUAUAAUGUUUUGAAGUCCACUGAUUUUGAAUUUACUAUUGAAAGAUGUCUGGAUGUCUGUGGUCUACCUUGCCUUUUGAGAGAUGCCUAUAUUGAUGUCCACCCAAGUUUCACUUGAUAUGUGUA